rnacentral:rRNA from 1 species
GACGAACGCUGGCGGCGUGCUUAACACAUGCAAGUCGAACGGAAAGGCCCUGCUUUUGUGGGGUGCUCGAGUGGCGAACGGGUGAGUAACACGUGAGUAACCUGCCCUUGACUUUGGGAUAACUUCAGGAAACUGGGGCUAAUACCGGAUAGGAGCUCCUGCUGCAUGGUGGGGGUUGGAAAGUUUCGGCGGUUGGGGAUGGACUCGCGGCUUAUCAGCUUGUUGGUGGGGUAGUGGCUUACCAAGGCUUUGACGGGUAGCCGGCCUGAGAGGGUGACCGGCCACAUUGGGACUGAGAUACGGCCCAGACUCCUACGGGAGGCAGCGGUGGGGAAUAUUGCACAAUGGGCGGAAGCCUGAUGCAGCAACGCCGCGUGCGGGAUGACGGCCUUCGGGUUGUAAACCGCCUUCGCCUGUGACGAAGCGUGAGUGACGGUAAUGGGUAAAGAAGCACCGGCUAACUACGUG